ACGAACGCUGGCGGCUGCUUAACACAUGCAAGUCGAACGGAGUGGCGAACGGGUGAGUAACGCGUGAGCAACCUGCCUCUGACAGUGGGAUUGCCUCGGGAAACCGGGAUUAAUACCGCAUAGUCAUAGAUGGGCUCGCGUCUGAUUAGCUAGUUUGUGCGAUAACAGCCCACCAAGGCGACGAACAGUAGCCGGUCUGAGAGGAUGAACGGCCACCAUGGAACUGAGACACGAUCCAAACUCAGACGGGAGGCAGCAGUGGGGAAUAUUGCACAAUGGUGGAAACCCGGAUGCAGCGACGCCGCGUGAACGAAGAAGUUAUUCGUAUCGUAAAGUUCUGUCCUAGGGAAAGCAGUACCAUAGAAGAAAGCUCCGGCUAAAUACGUGCCAGCAGCCGCGGUAAUUC
rnacentral:rRNA from 1 species